rnacentral:rRNA from 1 species
AGGGCAAGUCUGGUGCCAGCAGCCGCGGUAAUUCCAGCUCCAAUAGCGUAUAUUAAAGUUGUUGCAGUUAAAAAGCUCGUAGUUGAAUUUCGGGGUUAGUAGGUUGGUCAUGCCUCAGGUAUGUACUGAUCUCACUGAUUCCUCCUUCCUGAUGAACCGUAAUGCCAUUAAUUUGGUGUUGCGGGGAAACUGGACUGUUACUUUGAAAAAAUUAGAGUGUUUAAAGCAGGCUAACGCUUGAAUACAUUAGCAUGGAAUAAUGAAAUAGGACGUUCGAUCCUAUUUUGUUGGUUUCUAGGAUUGACGUAAUGAUUAAUAGGGAUAGUUGGGGGCAUUAGUAUUCAAUUGUCAGGGGUGAAAUUCUUGGAUUUAUUGAAGACUAACUACUGCGAAAGCAUUUGCCAAGGAUGUUUUCAUUAAUCAAGAACGAAAGUUAGGGGAUCGAAGACGAUCAGAUACCGUCGUAGUCUUAACCAUAAACUAUGCCGACUAGGGAUCGGAUGAUGUUAAUUUUUUAAUGACUCAUUCGGCGCCUUACGGGAA